rnacentral:rRNA from 1 species
CAUUUGGAACCGCAUGGUUCUAAAGUGAAAGAUGGUUUUGCUAUCACUUAUAGAUGGACCCGCGCCGUAUUAGCUAGUUGGUAAGGUAACGGCUUACCAAGGCGACGAUACGUAGCCGACCUGAGAGGGUGAUCGGCCACACUGGAACUGAGACACGGUCCAGACUCCUACGGGAGGCAGCAGUAGGGAAUCUUCCGCAAUGGGCGAAAGCCUGACGGAGCAACGCCGCGUGAGUGAUGAAGGGUUUCGGCUCGUAAAACUCUGUUAUUAGGGAAGAACAAAUGUGUAAGUAACUGUGCACGUCUUGACGGUACCUAAUCAGAAAGCCACGGCUAACUACGUGCCAGCAGCCGCGGUAAUACGUAGGUGGCAAGCGUUAUCCGGAAUUAUUGGGCGUAAAGCGCGCGUAGGCGGUUUCUUAAGUCUGAUGUGAAAGCCCACGGCUCAACCGUGGAGGGUCAUUGGAAACUGGGAAACUUGAGUGCAGAAGAGGAAAGUGGAAUUCCAUGUGUAGCGGUGAAAUGCGCAGAGAUAUGGAGGAACACCAGUGGCGAAGGCGACUUUCUGGUCUGUAACUGACGCUGAUGUGCGAAAGCGUGGGGAUCAAACAGGAUUAGAUACCCUGGUAGUCCACGCCGUAAACGAUGAGUGCUAAGUGUUAGG